GACGAACGCUGGCGGCGUGCUUAACACAUGCAAGUCGAGCGGAGCGGCGAACGGGUGAGUCACGCGUGAGUAACUUCCCCCCUCUCUGGGCUAACAGUUGGAAACGGCUGCUAAUACCGGAUAGUGGGGGAUGACUCGCGUCCUAUCAGCUUAUUGUUGGAGUAGUGGCCUACCAAGGCGACGACGGGUAGCCGGCCUGAGAGGGCGACAGGCCACAUUGGGCUGAGAUACGGCACGAAGUACUAAGGGAGGCAGAAGUGGGGAAUAUUGCACAAUGGGGGAAACCCGGAUGCAGCAACGCGCGGGAGGGAUGACGGCCUUCGGGUUGUAAACCGCUUUCAGCCAUGACGCGGUAGUGGCAGAAGAAGCACCGGCUAACUACAUGCCAGCCGCCGCGGUAAUAC
rnacentral:rRNA from 1 species